rnacentral:lncRNA from 1 species
CGCCUCCUCCUCUACCUCCUCCUCUUCGGGCUCUGGGUCUCGCUCCUGCUCUCCCUCCUCCGUCGCGGCUAGCGUGGCCGCCUCCUCCCCGGGUUCCUCGACCGAAACCUCGGCCGCCUCAGCUACUACCAGUUCAGGUUCGGGCUCAGACUCCGGUUCGGGUUCCGGCUCUGGCUCACCGCCGCCGCACGGUCCGCGAAACUCGCCAAGGAAUAGCUCCAGGAAGCGCCGGAAGGAAAUGAUCUGGGCAUAUGAAGUGGUUUGCUGA